UACAGAGGGGGCAAGCGUUGUUCGGAAUUACUGGGCGUAAAGGGCGCGUAGGCGGCCUUCUAAGUCGAACGUGAAAUCCCCGGGCUCAACCCGGGAACUGCGUCCGAUACUGGAAGGCUUGAAUCCGGGAGAGGGAUGCGGAAUUCCAGGUGUAGCGGUGAAAUGCGCAGAUAUCGGGAGGAACACCAAUGGCGAAGGCAGCUCGCUGGGACGUGACUGACGCUGAGACGCGAAGGCCAGGGGAGCAAACGGG
rnacentral:rRNA from 1 species